GAUGAAGAACGCAGCGAAAUGCGAUAAGUAAUGCGAAUUGCAGAAUUCCGUGAGUCAUCGAAUCUUUGAACGCACAUUGCGCCCGCUAGUAUUCUGGCGGGCAUGCCUGUCCGAGCGUCAUUUCAACCCUCAAGCCCCCGGGCUUGGUGUUGGGGAUCGGCGAGCCUCCGCGCCCGCCGUCCCCUAAAUCUAGUGGCGGUCUCGCUGUAGCUUCCUCUGCGUAGUAGCACACCUCGCACUGGGAAACAGCGCGGCCACGCCGUUAAACCCCCAACUUCUGAACGUUUGACCUCGGAUCAGGUAGGAAUACCCGCUGAACUUAAGCAUAUCAAUAAGCGGAGGA
rnacentral:misc_RNA from 1 species